UGUCUUGUAGCUCAGUGGUAGAGCACAUGCUUUGGAUGUAUAAGGCCCCGGGUUCAAUCCUAGGCAUCUCUG
rnacentral:tRNA from 1 species